GCGGACCGUUGAAUUCUCUAAUAAUCGAGCAAUUUUCAAGAAGCGAAUUUGAAACGAUCCUGAAACGCCAUCUUUGAGCCGAAUUUCACACCGAUCAUUGCGGCCAACCUUGAUGUCAUGAUCGGGCCGAUAUCGGACAGAGGCCCAGACGGUGCCAAACUGGUUUCAGAUUCAAUUUGACUUGACCGAAGAAGAAUCCAACACAUCCGGCCAAUGAAUGCUGUCCACCUAAUCCAAAUAAGCCACCGUCUCUCAUCCGACGAAAACGAGGAAGCCGCCGGCACCAGGAAGGGGAAAAUAAAGGAUUCUCAAAGGAUAAUUCAGAUUGUCCAGACUCCAAGGACUAGGGCAUGUCGCCUCUCUAUCGCGCACCAUUCACAAGUGCGCGGGAAAACAGGGCGUGAGAGAGGAUCGAUCGAGCAUCAGGGGUGGAUUCCCCCACCCUCUAUCAUCCCUCUGCCGACUUGUCUCAACCUCAGCUUGCUGUCACAAGGCUCGCCAUCGUCCUCUGUCAACAGGAUGCGCGUUGUUGAAAGUGUCGUCUUUGUGUUCUUUCGAUAGACAAGCGCUGCUGUCACUAGAUGCGCAUUUCUCCACAUGAAAUUUUGGAUGGGCAGUUCCAAAAAGAGGAGGUCUUUAGUUGCAGAGGAAAAGAUCUUGAGAAUUCGCAGACACUUCCUUC